CUGCUGAGGAGUCUCACAAUAGGACGAAACGACCGUCGAACAG
rnacentral:hammerhead_ribozyme from 1 species